rnacentral:lncRNA from 1 species
CUGUCUUGAAACUUUAUUAGUGAAUGUCCAAUGUAGAAGGCGUAUUUAGCUUCAAAAUCAAGUUUCAACUUUCGAAGUUUCUCAUCCUGUUCUGCACCUUCCAAACCCUAUACCUCUGUGCUGUCAUUCCCGAUCCGGAAUGUGUGCCGAUCUUCGGCUAUAUCUAUUGGGCAGAGAUAGGCAUUCCUUUCUUCGGCACAAUAAUUAAGGUCCAAACCAAAAUACAAAUCUUGUUGAUCAUAUAACAUUCUACAAGACAGAAGCAUGUCAG